GACGAACGCUGGCGGCGUGCUUAACACAUGCAAGUCGAACGAUGAACCCGGAGCUUGCUCCGGCGGAUUAGUGGCGAACGGGUGAGUAACACGUGAGUAACCUGCCCUUGACUCUGGGAUAACUGCGGGAAGCUGUAGCUAAUACCGGAUACGACCCUCGGCGGCAUCGCCAGGGGGUGGAAAGAAUUUCGGUCAAGGAUGGACUCGCGGCCUAUCAGCUAGUUGGUGGGGUAACGGCUCACCAAGGCGACGACGGGUAGCCGGCCUGAGAGGGUGACCGGCCACACUGGGACUGAGACACGGCCCAGACUCCUACGGGAGGCAGCAGUGGGGAAUAUUGUAUAAUGGGCGCAAGCCUGAUGCAGCAACGCCGCGUGAGGGAUGACGGCCUUCGGGUUGUAAACCUCUUUUAGUAGGGAAGAAGCGAAAGUGACGGUACCUGCAGAAAAAGCACCGGCUAACUACGUGCCAGCCGCCGCAGUAA
rnacentral:rRNA from 1 species